CAAGCGGUGGAUUAUGUUCUUUAAUUCGAUGAUAACCGAAGAACCUUACCAGGGAUUGACAUCCCAAGAAUUUUGUCGAAAGACGAGAGUGCUUUAUUGAACUUGGUGACAGGUGAUGCAUGGCCGUCGUCAGCUCGUGUCGUGAGAUGUUUGGUUAAGUCCAUCAACGAGCGCAACCCUUGUGAAUAGUUGUAUUUUUCUAUUCAGACUGCCCCGGCAACGGGGAGGAAGGAGGGGAUGAUGUCAGGUCAGUAUUUCCCUUACGCCCUGGGCUAGAAACGUAAUACAAUGGCCAGUACAAUGCGCAGCGAAGCCGCGAGGUGAAGCAAAUCGCAUCAAAACUGGUCCCAGUUCGGAUUGGAGGCUGAAACUCGCCUCCAUGAAGUUGGAAUCGCUAGUAAUCGCAGAUCAGCAAGCUGCGGUGAAUACGUUCCCGGGCUCUUGUACACACC
rnacentral:rRNA from 1 species